rnacentral:lncRNA from 1 species
UCACUCUUUUAACUUUUCUACAAUUCACCCCCAUUACUUUCAAAGAUUGCUUAUUUUCAUCCCUCAAAAGCUGCAAACUCUUUGCACAACAAGUUUUCUCUCUCUUCUUCUCAUUAUCUUCAAUCUCCGGGAUUUCCUUCAAAGAAUGAGAUUUCAAGAUUUUGGGCUCUUCUGAUUUCUGUUUCCCAAACACAUGACAAAUAAUUGAUCCCAUUUUCUUUGGGAAAAGGUUUCUGGGUAAACUUCCCCAUCUUUUCUUCUUCUUCAUCGUCUUGUCAGCUUCAAAAUCCUCUGUUUUAUUGCUCUUCUGAUUUCUUUUUUGCAUGGAUUUGACUAGUAGAAUUUUGGGUAUUUUGAGACCUUGAGAGUUUGAACGGAUGAGAGAUUUAC